rnacentral:misc_RNA from 1 species
GCAUCACCUUGUUUGUCAGUUGAAUCAGGUAUAGGCUUCACUAUCCAGUAGCUAUUCGAAUCGUCAACACCGGGGAAUCCGGUGACGGACUGCUGCCCGCUACCGGAUCCGUAAGCGACAUCGUGCGAAUGCAGACGGAUCUUCGUCUUCUCAUGCAUCAACUUGAUGACGCUCCCAUAUGUGACCUCGACGCUCUGGGCGGCGGGAGCAGCGGAAGCGAGGCCGAGGAGGAGAAAGGCGACGACGGCGAAGUGGAGCAGCGACAUGAGGCGGAGG